GUGACGUUACCAAUCUGUUGCCUCGGCGGGAUUCUCUGCCCCGGGCGCGUCGCAGCCCCGGAUCCCAUGGCGCCCGCCGGAGGACCAACUCAAACUCUUUUUUCUCUCCGUCGCGGCUUCCGUCGCGGCUCUGUUUUACCUUUGCUCUGAGCCUUUCUCGGCGACCCUAGCGGGCGUCUCGAAAAUGAAUCAAAACUUUCAACAACGGAUCUCUUGGUUCUGGCAUCGAUGAAGAACGCAGCGAAAUGCGAUAAGUAAUGUGAAUUGCAGAAUUCAGUGAAUCAUCGAAUCUUUGAACGCACAUUGCGCCCGCCAGUAUUCUGGCGGGCAUGCCUGUCCGAGCGUCAUUUCAACCCUCGAACCCCUCCGGGGGGUCGGCGUUGGGGAUCGGCCCCUCACCGGGCCGCCCCCGAAAUACAGUGGCGGUCUCGCCGCAGCCUCUCCUGCGCAGUAGUUUGCACACUCGCACCGGGAGCGCGGCGCGGCCACAGCCGUAAAACACCCCAAACUCUGAAAUGUUGACCUCGGAUCAGGUAGGAAUACCCGCUGAACUUAAGCAUAUCAAUA
rnacentral:rRNA from 1 species